GCCGCUGUGGCGCACCCUCGUGGCGCUGUCCAUCCGGCACGUGGGCCCGACGGCGGCCCGCUCGCUGGCCACGGCGUUCGGCUCGAUGGCGGCGCUGC
rnacentral:tRNA from 2 species